UCCUCGUGCUUCCCUGUCAGCGGCAAGAGCUCCGUGUUCUCUCUCCUCCAUUGUCGCUCUCCUUCGCGAUUCUCUCUCCUCACCUCCAUCAUCUGCAACCACCUCGCUGUCAUCAUCUCUACGAUACCAUCAUCUAUGAGUUGUCUCCUCUGUUGCAAGUGGAAAAUCCACCCUGACUGAUUCUUUGGUGGCUGUUGCCUGGAUCAUAGCCCAGGAAACUGCCGGUGAUGUUCGGAUGACUGAUAUCCGUGCAGAUGAAGCUUAACGUGGUAUCACUAUCAAGUCCACUGGAAUUUCUCUGUACUAUGAGAUGACAGAUGAAGCUUUGGCUGCAUUCAAGGGAGAGCGUGCCGGCAAUGACUAUCUUAUCAACCUCAUCGAUUCUCCUGGACACGUGGACUUCUCAUCAGAAGUUACUGCUGCCCUCCGUAUCACUGACGGGGCUGACUUUGUUUCGGUUUGGUAUGUGAUUAGGUGACCUACUCUUUUAAAUUAUAAGGACUAAUGUGAAAAGUUAUGUACACUGCAUGACAAAUUGACAAUAUAAUGGCAUGGUGUUUGAGGCAAUGCAGAUCCAGGUAAGUUUUUAUCCAGAAAUGUGACCCUAUGUCUAUGCUCCAUUCUAGGUGUGAUGUCUUCUAAGUUGAUGUGAACCUAAUGGAAUGUAAUUUUGCUCAUUUGACAAAUGAGUAAAUUCAGUUUGCUCAUUUGCAUAAAUGAGUAAAUCCAGUUUGCUCAUUUGCAUAAAUGAGUAAAUUCAGUUUGCUCAUUUGUAUAAAUGAGUAAAUUCAGUUUGCUCAUUUGUAUAAAUUCAGUUUAUAUGAAAAGUUCUGAUAUGAAUGUGUUCUCUUUUGGGAAAUAGGAAAUUAGCUGUAAUUAAAUUCCCUAGGUAGCCAAAAACCAAAGCUACAUACCUUCUGAAACAUUCUGGAACAUGCUGGAACAGGUUAUAUUUGAUGUUCUCCAUUCAAGCUUACAUCAGUCUGCUAUUCAAGCUCAACAUGCUGGAACAGGUUAUGUUUGAUGUUCUCCAUUCAAGCUUACGGUGAAUAUUAUGAAUCUAAUACAUUAUCAUAUGUUUCAUGCCUAUGACUCCCUAAAAACCUAAUGUUUCUGCAAUCUGCAUUCCUAAAACAACUUUCAUCCUAUGAAUCCUGGCUUUUCUACAUUCUCAAGCUGUUGUUAUAACUUAUAAGUGUCACCACCUAUAGUUUACCUUCUGCCUUGUUGCCUACACUGUCGGUUUAGGACUAAAUAAUAUGUUUAUCCAGAUACUCCUUGGUGUACGAAGGUAACCCCUUAUUGGAAGGUGCAGUUGUUGUGACGGAUUACUAAACUUGUGCAUACUGAUACAAAAUACGGAGUAAAUUAUUUUGCAUGCAUGGCCUGUAAGUUAACCGGCUAUAAGAACUCUUUUAAACGUGUUUUCUUCUUGUUAAAGCUGGAGUGCCCCAUCUGAAAUGGUUUGGAGUUGAAGGUGAACCAAGUCUGGAAGACCUAUUUAACUACUGCAGUAGGGAGUUGUCGCUGAAAACAGUACUAAUGCUUGCCGACCAGAUAGCUUCAAAAAUAGAGGAUCUGAAGCAAGAGAAUGUGAUAUUAGCUGAAGAAAAGGUUGGACUUGAAAUUUACAGCCAAAAUCUGGCAGAAGAGGCUGUAAAAGAUGAAUUUUCCGAAUUUGUUGAACCACUCAAAGCAACGAAAAGGGAAUUCAGAUAGAGAAUGAGUAUGCAAAAGAUUACAUGAACGAGACCUUGUAUGGGGAAAGCUUAAGGCUUCAGCAAGUGCUGGCUGAUUUCCUGUUAAUUUCAGUGAAUUUUAGACCUGGUGGAGGUCAUAUUGGAAUUAUAGUUCACUGAAACAAGGAUAAGAUAGGAGAAUCCGUUCAACUUGCAAAUUUGGAAUUCAGGUACAAAAACAAGAUAUCCAACAAAAAGAGGUUAAUGGAGCAAGAGAAUCUUCUAGAAGAAUCAAAGGUUAAGACAGAAGACCUUGUUGAGGUUUCAACACUGAAACAGGAGCUGGAAAUGGCAAAAAAGACGAAUGAACUACAUAGUUUGCAGCUGGAAAGUGAGGCCAAAUCGGUAAAAUCUGACUUGGAGAAAAGGUUAAGGAAACAAGAGCAGCUUUUGGAAGAUUCAAAGGUUAAGAUUAAAGAAUUGGAGAUGAAUUGUCAGACAAAAGAUCAGAGAUGGACCAAGAAAGAGCAUAUCUAUGAAGCCUUUGUGAAGAUUCAGUGGUCUUGUUUGGAGAUACCAUCAAGCAAGAAAUCUCGUUAACACAGAGGACCUACCUGGAGGAAUUGAACCAUGUAGGUACAAAGCUCAAAAAGUUAGCGAAAGCAGCUCAGAGCUAUCAUGAAGUUCUAUAUGAAAAUCGCAAAUUAUUUAACGAGCUUCAGGAUUUAAAAGGUAAUAAUAGAGUAUAUUGUCGAGUAAGGCCAUUCCAUUCGUGGGAGAAUCAAAAGCAAACAUUUCUAGAGAAAUGACUGUUACAAAUCCUAUACUUAACCAAACGAUUCUCAAAAGUCAUUCAUAUUCAACAAAGUUUACGGUCCUAGAGUCUAACGAGCUUGACCUAGAAUCUAGAGAA